UUGCCUCUCCACAGGCACUGUCCCUUAUCUGGACUCUGCCACAGCCUCUCCUCCUCCACUGCCAUGAAGAUCUUAAAGGAGCAGGCAUGGGCAGCCCCCUGCCAGUCCAUGUUCCCCUGACGCUUCCCACUCCCAUGAUAUAAAUGAGGAAAUAUGCAGACUGGCUAGGAGCUGGUGGUGUUUGGAGACCCCUCUUGGAGUCAGCUGCUGUGUGGAACAGAAGCACCCCCAACCAAUAAAUGGGUAUUGACUUGCA